UUCGGUAGCUGCAGAUGCAGCAGGAUUCUGGAACAAGUUUGGGUGUCCAUGAAUUCCAAUUUGGUGAACUAAGGAUUCUCCAUACGUCAUUUCUGAGGAAGGUGCCUGAGUACACGUUCCUAGGCUACCAUCUAGAACGUGCACAGGGACAUGUCUUGGGAAGUUCUGAGCUGCUUGCAUCUCAUUUUUCGGCUGUGAACCAAAAUUUUCAGACUGGCUUGGUUCAUCAGUUUUCUCAGCUUGAACCAAUUUCUCAUGUGAAGGGUGAGAAUUCUCCAAGUUUGAGG
rnacentral:lncRNA from 1 species